rnacentral:rRNA from 1 species
ACUGGGAAAGCCCAGCGCUGAAUCUUUCGAUGUUACAUCGUAAAGAAAUGUAGCGUAUAGGUGUAGUUAUCGGUUUGUUUGGCGUAUCCAAAGUUCCUUUGAUAGGGGCCAUAUUCCAGAGAGGGUGCGAGACCUGUGCGGAUAGCGGAACAUGCCGUAUGAUUAUACCUUGGAGUCGGGUUGCUUGAAAGUGCAGCCUUAAGUGGGUGAUAAACUUCAUCUAAGGCUAAAUACGGACGCGAAUUCGAUAGCAAACAAGUACUGUGAAGGAAAGUUGCAAAGAACUUUGAAGAGAGAGUUCAAGAGAACGUGAAAUCGUUGAAGUGGAACCGGAGAGAGUUGACGUAGUAUGGUGGAUAAGUAUUGCAAGAAUCGCUUCAAAAAAUGUGAACGUGAUCGAGCAGUAUGUAUGUCACCAAUGACUGCGCUGACAGCAUCGACUACACGCUCUGAACCGUGUUGACAUGUUGCCUACUCUAGUAUAUAGAGUGGUGUCUUGUGUUACGUGGUGAAGUUUGUUGUUAUGUUGAUGUUGAUACGAGGAGCAUAAUUAUACGACGAGUAUUAAUUAUGUGUGUCAGUGUAAAAGUCGACCACCUCUCCGACCCGUCUUGAAACACGGACCGAGGAGUGUAACUUGUACGCGAGUCAAUGGGUGAAAAACCUUAAGGCGAAAUGAAAGUGAAGGCACGGUUAACCGGCUGACAUGGGAAACGUCCGGCGGCUUGUGUUGACGAGACGUUACACCAUGGCCCUGUCUUGUCUGCAUGCAGAUGGGCAGCGGUAGAGCGUACAGGUUGCGACCCGAAAGAUGGUGAACUAUGCCUGAGCAGGACGAAGCCAGAGGAAACUCUGGUGGAAGUCCGUAUCGGUUCUGACGUGCAAAUCGAUCGAUAGACUUGGG